GACGAACGCUGGCGGCGUGCUUAACACAUGCAAGUCGAACGGAAAGGCCCUGCUUGCCGGGUACUCGAGUGGCGAACGGGUGAGUAACACGUGGGUGAUCUGCCCUGCACUUCGGGAUAAGCCUGGGAAACUGGGUCUAAUACCGGAUAGGAGCCAUUUUUAGUGUGAUGGUUGGAAAGUUUUUUCGGUGUAGGAUGAGCUCGCGGCCUAUCAGCUUGUUGGUGGGGUAAUGGCCUACCAAGGCGGCGACGGGUAGCCGGCCUGAGAGGGUGGACGGCCACAUUGGGACUGAGAUACGGCCCAGACUCCUACGGGGGGCAGCAGUGGGGAAUAUUGCACAAUGGGCGCAAGCCUGAUGCAGCGACGCCGCGUGGGGGAUGACGGCCUUCGGGUUGUAAACUCCUUUCGCUAGGGACGAAGCUUUUUGUGACGGUACCUAGAUAAGAAGCACCGGCUAACUACGUG
rnacentral:rRNA from 1 species